AAGCUGAUUGACCAAUGGCUAGGCAUGAUUUUCAGGGCAGAGAGAAUGCUGGAAAGAAAGGGAAGAGUCUGAGGAGACACCAUGAGAAGCAGAGGGAACGGGAUAGGAAGUAUGUACAUGAGAGACAGUUGCUGGGAUUUGGGGUCAUCAAACAGCAACCGAGGUGGAGCUUCUGCCUCUGCAAAAAGGCUCAGCGGCUCAGAGCGCCACAUAAGCAAUGAAAGAUGGCAAAGACAUCGAACUUCAACAAACCCUGCAAGCUUCCAGACAGUUCAUGCUCCUAAUCCAAGACUGCCUCUCAUAAACACCAAUGACCAUGGGUAACCACGCUGCGCAGUCACCAAAACCGAUGGCCAUGGGUAACCAGGCUGCGCAGUCACCAAAACUGAUGACCAUGGGUAACCAUGCUGUGCAGUCACCAAAACCGAGCCAUGGGUAACCAGGCUGCGCAGUCACCAAAACUGAUGACCAUGGGUAACCAUGCUGUGCAGUCACCAGUAAAGACAACCACUUCCAGGCAGCUCCUGCAAAGCUUCCACUUCUGGCCUGAAAUGCAUUGUUUGCUUGGCGAAAUCCAGAGACAUGAGAACUUCCUACGGUAAAUGUUGAUACAAGAAACAUGUCCUAAGUGACCAGCCAUAUUUAUCAAGCAGGGACAUCGGCGUGUUGGCAGAGCAGUUUCAAAUCGAUACAGUCCUUUCACGAGCAGAAAUUCAAGCAGAUGCUCAGAUUGACAAUGUCCCCCAGAUGGAUAUACUUGUCUGCCUGUUUCCAACCUUCGUGGGCACCUGUACUUGGCAUGCUCAUCCUAAAAGCUGAGCCUCACACUACACUCAUAAGUGUUUCUGAAGAAGAAAGUUCUAGCAGCCGAGUUUCUCCCAGUGUCCAAGAGAAGCUGGGGUCAAUCUUACACCUACAUUCCAAAAUAUGUAUUAUUUCUUUAAAAUGAAAUUAAACUAUUUGAGGGAAACCAUGGUUCUCUUUCACAUUUCCAAGUUCGGGUUUCUGUAACUACCUUUAUUUUAAAAUUUCUCCAGGGAAUGAAUCCAGCUGGGGCUUCAAGCAUGCUAGGCAAGCACUCUACCAUUAACACAUCAGGCCCAUAGCUAUUCAGUCAAGAUGAUUUUGUUAUAAAGUGUUUCUCUGUUUUAUCUUUCAAAUAUUAAAUAUUGACAUUCUUUGAAGGAGUUGGAAACAAAAUAAUGAAAGCAAAAUUAUCA
rnacentral:lncRNA from 1 species